GCAAGAUAUGGCUCAUGCACAUGCAGAUGAGAUCAUUUUAACUUGGCCUCAUGUUCUGUGCAAACAUUGUGGGCCGAAGGGCCUGUUCCUGUGCUGCACUAUUCUAUAGACACAAAAAGCUGGAGUAACUCAGCGGGACAGGCAG